AGCAGCCGCGGUAAUUCCAGCUCCAAUAGCGUAUAUUAAAGUUGUUGCAGUUAAAAAGCUCGUAGUUGAAUUUCGGGGUCAGUAGGUUGGUCGUGCCACUGGUAUGUACUGGCCUCACUGAUUCCUCCCUCUUGUAGAACCGUAAUGCCAUUAAGUUGGUGUUGCGGGGAAACAGGACUGUUACUUUGAAAAAAUUAGAGUGUUUAAAGCAGGCUAACGCUUGAAUACAUUAGCAUGGAAUAAUGAAAUAGGACGUUCGACCCUAUUUUGUUGGUUUCUAGGAUUGACGUAAUGAUUAAUAGGGAUAGUUGGGGGCAUUAGUAUUCAAUUGUCAGAGGUGAAAUUCUUGGAUUUAUUGAAGACUAACUACUGCGAAAGCAUUUGCCAAGGAUGUUUUCAUUAAUCAAGAACGGAAGUUAGGGGAUCGAAGACGAUCAGAUACCGUCGUAG
rnacentral:rRNA from 1 species